rnacentral:rRNA from 1 species
GACGAACGCUGGCGGCGUGCUUAACACAUGCAAGUCGAACGGAAAGGCCCUGCUUUUGUGGGGUGCUCGAGUGGCGAACGGGUGAGUAACACGUGAGUAACCUGCCCUUGACUUUGGGAUAACUUCAGGAAACUGGGGCUAAUACCGGAUAGGAGCUCCUGCUGCAUGGUGGGGGUUGGAAAGUUUCGGCGGUUGGGGAUGGACUCGCGGCUUAUCAGCUUGUUGGUGGGGUAGUGGCUUACCAAGGCUUUGACGGGUAGCCGGCCUGAGAGGGUGACCGGCCACAUUGGGACUGAGAUACGGCCCAGCCUCCUACGGGAGGCAGCAGUGGGGAAUAUUGCACAAUGGGCGGAAGCCUGAUGCAGCAACGCCGCGUUCGGGAUGACGGCCUUCGGGUUGUAAACCGCUUUCGCCUGUGACGAAGCGUGAGUGACGGUAAUGGGUAAAGAAGCACCGGCUAACUACGUG